CCCCUCUCCCAGUGGGGCUCGGAGCGGCGUACGGCGGGGAGGGGACAGGGCGAGAUGUUGGGUGGCGACCUGAGGCGGUGGGGACAGGUCAGGUAAAUCUGCGGGCAUCUGGGGACGGUAAAGUAGCGCGCCGCAGACCAGGCUGGGUGUUUCCUGGGGCCUCUGGCGCCGUUUUCUUUACAGGUAUCCGCACCCCUUUGUGCAGCGAGACGCCUGCACUGACACUUGCGCUUUCGGCUGUCGGCUUCGACAGCUUCGCGAUUUGGCUCUUUCCGGGGAGCCGUGGUGGGGCGUUUGCGGAUGCGCCUGGUUCAUGAGUCCCAGGACAUUACACUGGAAAGCUCGGACUGCAUGUAGAAGCUUUCUCCCCUUCUCUGUCCAUAGUGUUGGUGGGCAAUCUCCUAGACUCGCCCUUAGGCCCAUAGGCUCAGGACGACCCAUCACAAUCACACACGGACAUAAGCGCAUACACAGCCAAGUGUACUUUGGUGCCACACUCACACGUUUAUAUACAGACUUUGUUCCUCACUUUGUCCCAGUAGCAACUCUUCUUCCUCCAGAAGCUUUGAGAUGGAGAGACCGAUUUCUGAGCAUCGUUUUUCAGUGCUCCCUUGUCUCCAACCAGUCUGGCCUGUCUUGGAAGGAGUUUAAGAGGAACAGGCCCCAGCUGGGUGCUGAGUUGGGACUCUCUUCUGGGGUUUAAUGAGGCUUCACAGAGCCUGGGCUGGAGCUGAUUCCCCAGGCACCUGGGCACUCUCUAUCACACUCUGUUUUGGGACAAGAGAAAGAGACUCUUUGGGGCCAUUUCACAUCUCCCUCCCCACCUUCCCCAGGUAGGACUGGGGAAGAGCACUGACUCCAGCCGGCAGAGAGGAUGCCUGGCCCUCCUCUGUCCAUGAACCAGCUGAAGAAGCCUUUUGCCCUCUGUGCCUGGGAAAUGCAGCCCUUUCCUGAGAGCACGGUGGGGUGUUGAUGCUGGAAGAGCCAAGCGGCCGCCACAUUUUGCUUGCAGACUCAGUCCCAAGCUCAAGGCACUGUGAACAUCCCCACCCCAGUGUGCUCUCUAAAGUUUCUGGUCUUCCUGAAGUGUCCGAACCAAGGAGGCUGAGCUCCGGCUUUUAUCCACCCUGAUCCCCGGUUUGUCCGGACCAAUGUCAGACACGGCUGGAGGCCAAGGUCAAGUUGAAAGUUGCAGUCUAGCCAUGGUGAGAACUGCCCGGCAAGCCUGGAGACUCCGUACGCUUCUCAAGGAAUACCGCCCACCUCCCCUCACUCCUGAUUCCUUUUUCCUUUAGAAUUCUUCCUGUUUCUGGUUCCGUUUGGUUACCCAGCCAGACCCGGAAAAACGAAAACACUGCUCCGAGAGCCCCCACCAGCCGGCGCCUGUGCCAGCUCACCUCUGGUCAUGGCAUGGCGCAGCUGCCUGCCGGUGCACACCGCGGCCAAGGCCAGCUCCACAUUCUUCCCUCACUCUCCCCAAUUCGCCGGAGACCAAGCCCUGAAUGCAGAGGAAGGGCCCCAGCUCCACAGACUGCCAAAGCCAACUGGGUCCCUCCUCAUCAAAAAUGGUGAGACAAGAUUUCAUUUUGUCUGCUGAGGAGCCCCAAGCAGGUUUGUCUGGGAGGGACGGCACCGAGGGGAAGACUUUGGGUUGCAUCUCGAAUUAGGUUUUGCUACCCAAGCUUGGUGACCCCGCUAAGGAAGGGCUUCAGGCAGGCCUGAAUUAUUUAUUGCACUUUGAGGUGGAUCUUUAGUGAUCAGGUUAUGGGGAUAUUUUUUUUUUCUAAAUAUCUGUAUCAACUUUUGAAAACUCUUGAGAUGUGAUUACUUACAGGGAGGCAGCCUGCCUGUUUCCUUUUUGUCUUAGAUCUCAAUCUACAUGAAGUGAUUUUUCUACCAGACAACUUAGUGAUGUCCUGGCAUGCCUUCACUGUUUUUAAAAGUCUGCAGGUCCUGUUAGAUAUUGAGUUAUAUCUAGUGGAGAUGGUUUACAGAAUUUGGAUUAACUCUGUGAAUAAUUUUGGUUUUCCAGAAUUUCUUCUUACUUUGAAGAAAACCUCUUUCUCUCCCUCUUCUUGUCCAUUGCUGAGGGACCUAAGAGAUGCAUUAUAAGUUCCCAGUAUUGUUUCUUAGCCUCUUAGUCCUCCAGGCAGCCACUAAACCAGCUUGCUGGAAAAGGAAAGGUCGGAGGGCAGUGAAGAACUGGAGAGCCUUCUGGGAAGCAAGCACAGACUCUUUCCAAUGGCAAGGUCAAGACUCCCUUGCCUGCCCAGCUCUUGGGCCAGACCCUCUGAACUGUCCCUCUGCUUUUUGGGGGGGGGAGGGGGGGCAUCUACCAGGCUCAGAAAUUCCUGUGGGAUUGCGGGGAGAUGCCUCAACUUGAAUCCUGGCAAUGACAGUUUUUAUCUUCAGACCCUUUGUAGGCUAGGCUGGGAAGCCAUGGCACCCAUUGGGUUCUGUAAACAGCAGAUUCAUGGCCCAUUGAGCAAGAAGGUGGCAGAGUGGAGGUGGAUUUUGCCCUGUGCUCCCUGCUUUCCUUUAGAGGGGCCCUCAGUGGGCAGCAAUGGCAAGAUCAGAGGCCAGCAGCUUUUGUUCCAGAAGUUGUCAGAUCCUUUCUCUUACCAGCCCCUUGGCAGACAUGGCUUCAGACCUUCUAAGGCAGGCUGGGGUGCCCUGAGGGGUUUUGGUUGCUCUGGAGCCGAAGAAAAAUACCCUGGCUGGGUGUUAUUUUGGGGGAGGUGCGAUGGGGGGGACUCGCUGCCAGCCUGGGCCAUGAAGCCCUGGGUUCCCAGGGUUGGAAGAGAAGAGGACAAAGGGAAACCCAGGUUUUAAUCGAGUUUGAUUUUCACUAGCAAAUGAAAUUUACCUGCUCUCACUUUAACUUGGAGGAGGCUGUCAGCACUGCUCUCUGGCACUAUUUCUCUGCAUCCAUCCAGCAUUAGGAUAAACAUUCCUGGGUUGGUUUUAAAGACACUUUGUAUUUCAGGAUAUUCAUGUGUUUCUAAUGUAUCCAAGCAGCUUUACGAGCUGCAUUUGCAGAACAUCUUAACCCUCUCUCUCCCAGGGCACAAGGGAUAUGGGGCUCAGAGAUAAUGGCAAAGGAAGAAAGACCUAGAGAAUGGGAAAGGGCUGAGGAGCUGAGGCUAGCUAAGAGAGAAAGAGAGAAAAGGAAGAACACUUGAACAGGACAGUACUUCCAAUACUGUAGUCAACUGGACAUUUUGGGAUGCAGGUGAGGGACAACUUUGUUCAUGGUGGGUUUUGUGGAAGCUGAACUCUUCCUUAAGGAGAAAGGGUAGGUUUUCAAGAAAUUUGGGCCAAUGCUGGCCACUAGGCAAAGAAAUAGCAUGUCCUGAGUCACUUGCUCAAGCUUUAGGGUUUUUUUGUUUGUAUAUUUUGUUUGUUUGUUUGUUUUGUAUUUGACACAUGAAUAAGGCAGCACAAGGCCCAAGGUGAUAGGAACAGUGUCUGGCUGUGGGAAGUCACUUGGCAUUAUGGUGACCAAACGCUAACAUGGUGGAAAUGGAAGGGUGUGCAAGGUCCAAGAAAAUCCACCAAGACCCCUACUUUGUCUUGAAAAAUGCCCUCAUCCUGUGAAUUUUGAGGAGAGUAAGGUUUUGGAGGCAGCAGCUCUGCCUGGUGGGUUCUUUCUGGUACCAGACCUUCAAGGCCACCAGUGACCAGAGCGUCAGGAAGGACCCCACUUCCCGCACUGCCCUUUCCUAGUUCUCACAGAAAGUCCCUGAGCAGGGAGAGGGGCGCCAUCCCCGUUUUAGAACAAUUAGUCCUAAAUCUCCCAGGCUCCCUUGAGGACCCUCUGCACAGCGCCAGCCAGCCAGCGGCGCCCAGACUCCGCAAGAUUGGUGCAAACUUGGGAGUGAAGGUGGAGUUCUCGCCUCUGAGACCCGCCGCCUUCGGGCUCAGGAUGGGUGGAUGAUUCCGCCAGUGGCGGUGGCCUAGGUGACGAUGAGGUUGAGUGCUGCCUGCCCCCGACGCUGCCGCCGCUGCCCGGCUCUUGACUGGACCUGGAAACUCAGCCUCGGCUUAAAGGACCGAAGCCUGCGCUAGAAGCAGAGGGAACCCGGAGAAGCGCUCCUCGCAGGGAGGAAGCGCCUUUGCGCUGUCCUCAGCUGGCUGGCGGACUCCGGGACCCACGCCACCAGGGGAGUGAGCUCGCCGUCACCCCUCCGGGCCGCUGGGAGAGCGCAGAACGGCCGAGGAAUCCCGGGAGGUUGCGGCGGGCGUGAAAGAGGCGAGAGAUCUCCGUCCCGACGCUGUCCGUACGGCCCUGCCACAGCCCAAGAGAAGUCCCACCCGCCGGCCCCCACCCUCUUCCUCGCUCGAUGCUCGCUCAGGCCCCACAACAAAACAGGAAAUCGGCUCUUGCGGGGGGUGGGGGGGCUGUGGAUUCAUUAUGUCAACAAAUACACUGAAGACAUUCGAACGUUUGAAGGAAACAGGGGCUUGGACAGUAAACCUGGCCCCGCGGAGCCCCCAGCUUUCUCGCCGAGAAACCGAUGCAGACGACCAGCGGCCACGCGGCCUGGGCCCGCGGGAGUUCGUUCCUCCCCAAAGACUCCCAGGUCCCUGACCCGGGAUGCAAAUUCUUAACGCAGUCAACUAAGGGAUGAAACUCACUAUCGCGGCCACGAGAAAGGGGAACUCAGAACAGAGAGGUGUGAUCAGACUUUUACAGGCAAGUUAUAUGCGGUAAUCAUAAGGAUGCGUGUGCCUCAUAAGGCACUCACAGAUUCACGCAUCAGUGAACACGGACAUCCAAUGUCCUGUGGGUGAAACACAGGCAUCCUAUCAAGUCCUGAGGAAGAAUAGUUCACCCUGUCGGACCAGUCUGGUGACAUAUUUCGGGGUGGCUGGCGUCUCCCUACCUUUGCUGAUUUUUCCAUCCACUCACCAUUCCUUUACCCGCCGCCGUUUUCCAAAUACACCUGUCCCCAGGGGAAGGCAAGCCCCCGAUUGGCAUUUACCUGGUUUGAAUGUUCUCCCCAGAAACUCCGGCUGGCUCUGGGGGCCGCCCAAGCCAACCAAAAACGCCGACAUUUCUUGUGGCUCAGCCGCCGCUCCUUUGUCCCGCUGCUCUGGCUCCGCUCGGCCCAACGCUCAGGGAAACGAAGCAGCUCAAUAAAAACUUUUGAUAUUA